CCUACGGGGGGCUGCAGUGAGGAAUAUUGGUCAAUGGACGCAAGUCUGAACCAGCCAUGCCGCGUGAAGGAAGACACAUUUAGGUGCGUAAACUUCUUUUAUACGGGAAAAAACCUUUGGUCGUGCACCAGAGCUGAUGGUACCGUAUGAAUAAGCAUCGGCUAACUCCGUGCCAGCAGCCGCGGUAAUACGGAGGAUGCAAGCGUUAUCCGGAUUUAUUGGGUUUAAAGGGUGCGCAGGCGGAAUAUUAAGUCAGUGGUGAAAGCCUACAGCUCAACUGUAGAACUGCCGUUGAUACUGAUAUUCUUGAGUUUUGUUGAGGUAGGCGGAAUGUGUCAUGUAGCGGUGAAAUGCUUAGAUAUGACAAGGAACACCGAUCGCGAAGGCAGCUUACCAAGCAAAUACUGACGCUCAUGCACGAAAGCGUGGGGAUCAAACAGGAUUAGAUACCCCGGUAGUC
rnacentral:rRNA from 1 species